GGGAACUGUGAGACAGGUGCUGCAUGGCUGUCGUCAGCUCGUGUUGUGAAAUGUUGGGUUAAGUCCCGCAACGAGCGCAACCCUUAUCCUUUGUUGCCAGCGGUUAGGCCGGGAACUCAAAGGAGACUGCCAGUGAUAAACUGGAGGAAGGUGGGGAUGACGUCAAGUCAUCAUGGCCCUUACGACCAGGGCUACACACGUGCUACAAUGGCGCAUACAAAGAGAAGCGACCUCGCGAGAGCAAGCGGACCUCAUAAAGUGCGUCGUAGUCCGGAUUGGAGUCUGCAACUCGACUCCAUGAAGUCGGAAUCGCUAGUAAUCGUGGAUCAGAAUGCCACGGUGAAUACGUUCCCGGGCCUUGUACACACCGCCCGUCACACCAUGGGAGUGGGUUGCAAAAGAAGUAGGUAGCUUAACCUUCGGGAGGGCGCUUACCACUUUGUGAUUCAUGACUGGGGUGAAGUCGUAACAAGGUAACCGUAGGGGAACCUGCGGUUGGAUCACCUCCUUACCUUAAAGAAGC
rnacentral:rRNA from 1 species